UAACUCUCAUCAACUCUCAUGCAACUCUUGUUCUCGUUUGACCGGGGCAUGAGAUUUGAGAAGCGAGAGUUUACAUGAGAGUUUUCUCAACUUUCAUUGCUUGAUCAAACGAGAACAAGAGUUGCAUGAGAGUUGACAAGCGAGAGUUU